CCUACGGGAGGCAGCAGUGGGGAAUAUUGCACAAUGGGCGCAAGCCUGAUGCAGCGACGCCGCGUGAGGGAUGAAGGCCUUCGGGUUGUAAACCUCUUUCAGUAGGGAAGAAGCCGGCUUUUGGGUUGGUGACGGUACCUGCAGAAGAAGCGCCGGCUAACUACGUGCCAGCAGCCGCGGUAAUACGUAGGGCGCAAGCGUUAUCCGGAAUUAUUGGGCGUAAAGAGCUCGUAGGCGGUUUGUCGCGUCUGCCGUGAAAGUCCGGGGCUUAACCCCGGAUCUGCGGUGGGUACGGGCAGACUAGAGUGCAGUAGGGGAGACUGGAAUUCCUGGUGUAGCGGUGAAAUGCGCAGAUAUCAGGAGGAACACCGAUGGCGAAGGCAGGUCUCUGGGCUGUAACUGACGCUGAGGAGCGAAAGCAUGGGGAGCGAACAGGAUUAGAUACCCUGGUAGUCCAUGCCGUAAACGUUGGGCACUAGGUGUGGGGGACGAUACUACGUUCGUCGCGUCGCUACGACAUAGUAGCCGCCGUCGGAGGUACGGCCGCGACGACGUAACGUACGAAGAAGUUAGUACGGCGUUGAGACGNGCCGACGGACGACGACGAGGGAGGAGG
rnacentral:rRNA from 1 species